rnacentral:rRNA from 1 species
CCUACGGGAGACAGCAGUGAGGAAUAUUGGUCAAUGGGCGGGAGCCUGAACCAGCCAAGCCGCGUGAGGGAAGAAGGUACAGCGUAUCGUAAACCUCUUUUGUCAGGGAACAAAGGCGGGGACUAGUCCCCGGAUGAGGGUACCUGAAGAAAAAGCAUCGGCUAACUCCGUGCCAGCAGCCGCGGUAAUACGGAGGAUGCGAGCGUUAUCCGGAUUUAUUGGGUUAAAAGGGUGCGCAGGGGGCCUGUUAAGUCAGCGGGAAAAGCCCGGGGCUCAACCCCGGCGAGCCGUUGAAACUGGCGGGCUGGAGUUGGAGAGAGGUACGCGGAAUGCGCGGUGUAGCGGUGAAAUGCUUAGAUAUCGCGCAGAACCCCGGUUGCGAAGGCAGCGUACCGGCUCCACACUGACGCUGAGGCGCGAAAGCGUGGGUAUCGAACAGGAUUAGAUACCCCAGUAGUC